rnacentral:lncRNA from 1 species
GGGAUCCUCCAUAAUAGCAUUAUAGAAUCUGAAAGGUUUAGGAUGCAAUAACUUUUGACUCCCAAACUGUAUGAGAAUAAGAGAGUGGUCAGAGACUGAGGGAUUCAUAAAAUCAGCUUCUAGAUGUCCAUACUGCUGAAGCCACUGAAAAUUACCAAGUGCCGAAUCAAUUUUGCUUAGACCUGCUUAUUUGUCCAUGAAUACUUCCACCCUUUUGAUAUGAGGGAGGUCAAUUGAAGAUCAGAAAUGACCUCUUUAAACCCUCUAACUUCAUCAUCU